rnacentral:tRNA from 1 species
AAAGGUUUAGGUUCACCUCAGACCAAAGGCCUUCAAAGCCUUAAGCAAGUGUCUAAUCACUUAACCUUUG